GGGAAGAGCCAGCGCUGAAUCUUGUGCCCACGGGUGCAAAGACAUGUAGCGUUGGGACGAGACAUUGCCUGUGUAGAAUGAUUAACUAAGUCCCUCUUGAAUGGGGCCAUAGCCCGUGGAGGGUGCUAGGCCCGUAUGUUAAUUGAUUGCGUCUCGUCCGUAGAGUCGAGUGCUUGGGAGUGCAGCUCAAAUACGGUGGUAACUCCAUCUAAGGCUAAAUAUGACCACGAGACCGAUAGCGAACAAGUACCGUGAGGGAAAGUGAAAAGAACUGAAGAGAGAGUUCAAUAGUACGUGAAACCUCUCGGGGGUAAGCGGGCAGAACUUGCAAGUAAUGAUAUUCAAGCUUAAUUUGGGAGAUGGCAGAUGUGCUCCGUUGUGUGCUGCUUUGAUGAUGCGCUGCAUUUAUUUCCAUCGGGUUGCAUGUGAUUGAUAGGUGCUGAGGAUCUGUGAAGUCUUGUUCAAGUCUUUUUCCAACUACCUCUGCGAUGAGCAGGCGUUCGCGGUCAAUGGGUUGUACGAGUCGUGCACUUACGAUAUGUAGACGGGUAACCGUAUGGCUGUCAGUUGGCACUGUUCAUUGCGAUCUAAUGCAUGCGUGGUCUGCCUGUCCCGUCUUGAAACACGGACCAAGGAGUCUAACAUAUAUGCAAGUCAUUGGGAACCCGCAUAAUGAAAGUAAGAUGAGGAGAGAUCUGCGCAUCUC
rnacentral:rRNA from 1 species